rnacentral:rRNA from 1 species
GAUGCAGCAACGCCGCGUGCGGGAUGACGGCCUUCGGGUUGUAAACGCUUUUGCUGUGACGAAGCGUGAGUGACGGUAAUGGGUAAAGAAGCACCGGCUAACUACGUGCCAGCAGCCGCGGUGAUACGUAGGGUGCGAGCGUUGUCCGGAUUUAUUGGGCGUAAAGGGCUCGUAGGUGGUUGAUCGCGUCGGAAGUGUAAUCUUGGGGCUUAACCCUGAGCGUGCUUUCGAUACGGGUUGACUUGAGGAAGGUAGGGGAGAAUGGAAUUCCUGGUGGAGCGGUGGAAUGCGCAGAUAUCAGGAGGAACACCAGUGGCGAAGGCGGUUCUCUGGGCCUUUCCUGACGCUGAGGAGCGAAAGCGUGGGGAGCGAACAGGCUUAGAUACCCUGGUAGUCCACGCUGUAAACGGUGGGUACUAGGUGUGGGGUCCAUUCCACGGGUUCCGUGCCGUAGCUAACGCUUUAAGUACCCCGCCUGGGGAGUACGGCCGCAAGGUA